GACGUAGGGGGCGAGCGUUGUCCGGAGUUACUGGGCGUAAAGGGCUCGUAGGCGGCCAACUAAGUCAGACGUGAAAUCCCUCGGCUCAACCGGGGAACUGCGUCUGAUACUGGAUGGCUUGAAUCCGGGAGAGGGAUGCCGGAAUUCCGGGUGUAGUGGUGAAAUGCGUAGAUAUCCGGAGGAACACCAGUGGCGAAGGCGACUUUCUGGCCUGUUCUUGACGCUGAGGCGCGAAAGCUAGGGGAGCAAACGGG
rnacentral:rRNA from 1 species